UGAUUGGUGUAGACAAAUUCACUUUGCAAUUUGUGGGUUACCUUCUAGACACGACCGCGUUAGCCUCUGACCAGCAGUAGUCAGAAUCACUCCACCGGCUGUGUGUGUCAAAUACUGGCUGCUUGAUAACCAGCUGGACCACGGAGAGAUGUGCCGAGGCUUUUCAGAUCAGGUAGAAUC